CCUACGGGAGGCAGCAGUGGGGAAUAUUGGACAAUGGGGGGAACCCUGAUCCAGCGACGCCGCGUGAGGGAAGAAGGAUUUCGGUAUGUAAAGCUUUAUCAGCAGGGAAGAAAAUGACGGUACCUGACCAAGAAGCCCCGGCUAAUUACGGGCCAGCAGCCGCGGCAAUACGGAGGGGGCAAGCGUUAUCCGGAUUUACUGGGGGUAAAGGGAGCUUAGACGGUUCAGCAAGUCUGAUGUGAAAGGUCGGGGCCCAACCCCGGGACUGCAUUGGAAACUGUUGAACUGGAGUACAGGAGAGGUAAGCGGAAUUCCUAGUGUAGCGGUGAAAUGCGUAGAUAUUAGGAGGAACACCAGUGGCGAAGGCGGCUUACUGGACUGUAACUGACGUUGAGGCUCGAAAGCGUGGGGAGCAAACAGGAUUAGAUACCCUUGUAGUC
rnacentral:rRNA from 1 species